rnacentral:rRNA from 1 species
AUGCACUCAUACCCCGUGACCCAGCUGCCCCAUCCGCCCGAACGGGACACAAUUCGAAAUGUGAAUCCCCUCCGGCAGACGCAGCCUCGUCGCCGGGAACCAGAUCGACCUUCCAUCAUAUCAACGCCCGGGUCUACAGAUUUCUUCGCGAUUUGCCCAAUGGAUCUUGGUGCGGAGUCAUUCACACGGAUCUCCGGUUCAGGUUUCUCCUCUCAUAAGCUCCUCUGUUUCUUGCAUCGUCUUCUCCGUCAAAUCCUUCAAUCUCCAUCUUGUCGUGUCCAUGUGCAGCUUCUGUUCCCAGCCGAGGGCGUCCCAGAUUUGGGAUUGCUAGAGAAGAAGGAGUACGGCGUGCUAGAGGAGGAGGAGGCGACGACUGUGUUCCUACGAAUUUACAGAGGGGUUCGCCUUCUUCAAGCCAAGAUGGAGAGAAAGAUGGUGUUACGGAUUCUGGAUCUCAAGUUCCUGAGGCCACGCAAGAUUUUUCUGGCGUCCCGGAUAUUGACAACAUCGAUAGCCACCGAGAGAGCGCUCAUUUGA